rnacentral:rRNA from 1 species
AUUGAACGCUGGCGGCAUGCCUUACACAUGCAAGUCGAACGGUAACGGGCCUUCGGGUGCCGACGAGUGGCGAACGGGUGAGUAAUGUAUCGGAACGUACCUUUCAGUGGGGGAUAACGUAGCGAAAGUUACGCUAAUACCGCAUAUUCUGUGUGCAGGAAAGCAGGGGACCUUCGGGCCUUGCGCUGAUUGAGCGGCCGAUAUCAGAUUAGCUAGUUGGUGAGGUAAAGGCUCACCAAGGCGACGAUCUGUAGCGGGUCUGGGAGGAUGAUCCGCCACACUGGAACUGAGACACGUGCCAGACUCCUACGGGAGGCAGCAGUGGGGAAUUUUGGACAAUGGGGGCAACCCUGAUCCAGCCAUGCCGCGUGAGUGAAGAAGGCCUUCGGGUUGUAAAGCUCUUUCGGCCGGGAAGAAAUCGUAUCAGCUAAUACCUGGUGCGGAUGACGGUACCGGCAUAAGAAGCACCGGCUAACUACGUGCCAGCCGCCGCCGUAAAAC